rnacentral:tRNA from 1 species
UCCCUAGUGGCUCAGAUGGUACAGAAUCUGCCUUCAGUGCAGGAGACCCAGGUUCGAUCCCUGGGUCAGGAA